GUGGAGCCCGUCCAUUGUAGAAGUUCGUCUGGGAUCCAUCCGCUGUAGAAGUUCGGACGGAGUUUGGCUCUUUUAGGGGCUCGGAUGAAAUUCGGAAGGCGAUCGACCAUCGUAGAAACUUGGAUGGAGUCUGGUUACUAUAGAAGUCCUGCUGUUGGAGAGGCUCGGACAUUGACAAAGUUCGAAAGAAGUUCGAAGUGAAGUCGAUCGUGGCAGGAAGAAGUCUGGAAGAGAUUCAGAGGGUAGUCGAUCACUGUAGAAAGUCGACUGAUAAUGAAGCCCAGAGAGCAUUUGGAGCAGUCCGGUAGA
rnacentral:lncRNA from 1 species